rnacentral:rRNA from 1 species
UAGGGAAUCUUCCGCAAUGGGCGAAAGCCUGACGGAGCAACGCCGCGGGAGUGAUGAAGGUCUUCGGAUCGUAAAACUCUGUUAUGAGGGAAGAACAAAUGUGGAAGUAACUAUGCACGUCUUGACGGUACCUAAGCAGAAAGCCACGGCUAACUACGGGCCAGCAGCCGCGGUAAUACGUAGGUGGGAAGCGUUAUCCGGAAUUAUUGGGCCUAAAGCGCGCGUAGGCGGUUUUUUAAGUCUGAUGUGAAAGCCCCCGGCUCAACCGUGAAGGGUCAUUGGAAACUGGAAAACUUGAGUGCAGAAGAGGAAAGUGGAAUUCCAUGUGUAGCGGUGAAAUGCGCUGAGAUAUGGAGGAACACCAGUGGCGAAGGCGACUUUCUGGUCUGUAACUGACGCUGAUGUGCGAAAGCGUUGGGAUCAAACAGG